UCCUUCGGGUGAAGUGAGGCAAUGACUAGAGUGGCGAACUGGUGAGUAACACGUAAGAAACCUGCCCUUUAGUGGGGGAUAACAUUUGGAAACAGAUGCUAAUACCGCGUAACAACAAAUCACACAUGUGAUCUGUUUGAAAGGUCCUUUUGGAUCGCUAGAGGAUGGUCUUGCGGCGUAUUAGCUUGUUGGUAGGGUAGAAGCCUACCAAGGCAAUGAUGCGUAGCCGAGUUGAGAGACUGGCCGGCCACAUUGGGACUGAGACACUGCCCAAACUCCUACGGGAGGCUGCAGUAGGGAAUUUUCCGCAAUGCACGAAAGUGUGACGGAGCGACGCCGCGUGUGUGAUGAAGGCUUUCGGGUCGUA
rnacentral:rRNA from 1 species